rnacentral:rRNA from 1 species
AUGGGGCCAUAUCAUAACCAGAAGCUCAUCCAAGGGCAAGUUCAUAAUCUCUCCGCGGAAGAAGCGCUGGAAAACCCCGAAGUCAUCAUUGGUAUGUUUCUCGUUAAUAACAUACCUGCAAUAAUUUUAUUUGACUCGGGGUCUUUCCACUCUUUUAUUUCUCAGAGUUUCGUUAAAAAGGGCAACCUGGUGCAUGUAGCUCCCACUUGCGCAGGGUCCAGGGAAGGGUCCGACCACUUUGGGUCUAUAGUAUGCAGCCUUUCCCUCUCAGAGUUUCGUUGCCCAAAACAAAUUUUCUAG